rnacentral:rRNA from 1 species
GAUGAACGCUGGCGGCGUGCCUAAUACAUGCAAGUCGAGCGAAUGGAUUAAGAGCUUGCUCUUAUGAAGUUAGCGGCGGACGGGUGAGUAACACGUGGGUAACCUGCCCAUAAGACUGGGAUAACUCCGGGAAACCGGGGCUAAUACCGGAUAAUAUUUUGAACUGCAUGGUUCAAAAUUGAAAGGCGGAUUCGGCUGGCACUUAUGGAUGGACCCGCGUCGCAUUAGCUAGUUGGUGAGGUAACGGCUCACCAAGGCAACGAUGCGUAGCCGACCUGAGAGGGUGAUCGGCCACACUGGGACUGAGACACGGCCCAGACUCCUACGGGAGGCAGCAGUAGGGAAUCUUCCGCAAUGGACGAAAGUCUGACGGAGCAACGCCGCGUGAGUGAUGAAGGCUUUCGGGUCGUAAAACUCUGUUGUUAGGGAAGAACAAGUGCUAGUUGAAUAAGCUGGCACCUUGACGGUACCUAACCAGAAAGCCACGGCUAACUACGUGCCAGCAGCCGCCGUAA